rnacentral:rRNA from 1 species
CCUACGGGUGGCAGCAGUCGAGAAUCUUUCACAAUGGGCGAAAGCCUGAUGGAGCGACGCCGCGUGGAGGUUAAGGUCUUCGGAUUGUAAACUCCUGUCAUGCGAGAACUAGUAUCGCAAGAGGAAGAGACGGCUAACUCUGUGCCAGCAGCCGCGGUAAUACAGAGGUCUCAAGCGUUGUUCGGAAUUACUGGGCGUAAAGGGUGCGCAGGCCGCGCGGGCAGUCAAAUGUGUAAUCCAGGGGCUCAACCCCUGAACUGCGCUUGAUACUUCCGCGCUCGAGCUUUGGAGAGGAGUCUGGAAUUCUCGGUGUAGCAGUGAAAUGCGUGGAUAUCGAGAAGAACACUUAGGGCGUAGGCAAGACUCUGGACAAUCUGACGCUCAUGCACGAAGGCUAGGGUAGCGAACGGGAUUAGAUACCCUGGUAGUC